CCUGACGCAGCACGCCGCGUGAAUGAUGAAGGCCUUCGGGUUGUAAACUUCUUUUUUCUGGGACGAUAAUGACGGUACCAAAGGAGGAAGCCACGGCUAACUACGUGCCAGCAGCCGCGGUAAU
rnacentral:rRNA from 1 species